rnacentral:lncRNA from 1 species
CUGUGCCUCCCAAAGGUGCUUGGGGCAGGAAUGAAGAGCGGAACAGCCCCCAUCAAUCCAAUAGGAUUGUCGUUUUACGCUGGCGUGGAGCCUCAGACAUCAAAAGGGCUGGAGAGUGAAGCCACGUGUGAGCCGUGAAGUUGGUGACCCUGAGGCACAGAAAGCUGAGGGAAUUUGUUCGAAGUCACACAGCUGGGUCCUUGCAGAUGUAAUCGGGUGAAGAUGGGUUCAUAUUGGAUUGGAGUGAGUCAUAAUCCACUGUGACUGGUGUCUUUAAAAGAAAAGGACACACGGAAAUUCAGAGACAGAAAGACCCACAGGGAGAAUGCCAUGUGAUGACAGAGGCAGAGACUGGAGUGAUGGGUCUAUAGCCAACGGACACCAAAGACUCUCAUCCACCAGAAGCUGGAAGAGGCAAGAAGUGGAAAAGCAUUUGGGAGGAAGUGGAACCAAAGCAGAUCCUAUCCAAGGUGAAUGGCAAGCAGCUAUAUGAGGAUGGCCUUGCUCCCAGCCGGAUCUCCCAUCCUCAAGAAGGCCAGCCCAGGCUUCAUCACACAGCAGUGGAAGAGUUCUGAUUUAAGAGAAGAAGAGUGGAAGCUGCAGGUCCUGUUGAGACCUGGACUAGGAAGACACACAAUGCCACUUCUGCCACAUUCUAGUUGUCAUUUCUGGUUGUGAAAGCAAGUCCCAGGGCCAGUCAAGAUUCAAGGAAAGGGUAAAUAAACUCCAUUACUUGAUGGGUGCAGCCAAAAAAAGUCA